UUUCAGUCAAACAAAACCAUAUAAUGAUGCAGGCAAAUUUAUAUGCCUUACUUUAUUGGAUGUGCCAGUUCAAUUGUCUACAGCAGAUUAUCCAAGUGAUUUAUUCAGUGUUUUAAAAAAAGGAUUUAAUAUUAUACAAAGAUUGGAUGAAUCCAGUAAAGUAGACAAGGAACUCAUUUUUCUCUAUCUUAGUGUGUUUGGAUUAGAAGUUGAUUCAAUAACUGAAAAUAUGAUUUGUUUCUCCAAAAAUAACCCUUUGCUGGACAAAAUUUCACAAGGCAAGGACACGCAAGAGAUGAAAUUUCAACUCAUUAGCUUAAAGAAGGCAGCCGCUAACUUGCAGACACUAAUCAUCAACAAAAUAAAAGAAUGGAUAAAGAAGAUGAAAAAAUCAUUAAUAACUGCCAUCCAAAAGAAAAAAGUUUGCAAGAAUAAUCUGGAAGGCAUAAAGUGUCAAAUUCAAAAUUGUCAACACAAUAUCAAUCCCAGUUUAAAUGAUGAAUUAGCAAUAUUAAAACUUCUUAAU